rnacentral:misc_RNA from 1 species
AUUUUUUAAUGUUUAUAUUAUUUGAAUAAAACAUUCAAAUAAUAUAAAAAAUAAUAUAUAUAUUGACAUGGAUUAAACAAAGAUAUAUAUUAUUCUAUGUUGUAUAAACAAAUUGGCAAAAUAGAGAUGGAAGAUAAAAAUAUGGUCAAAGUAAUAAGAGUCUAUGGUGAAUGCCUAGGAGCUUUAAGGCGAAGAAGGUCGUGGUAAGCUGCGAAAAGCUUGGGGGAAAAGCAAACAUUUAUUGAUCCCAAGAUUACCGAAUGGAGUAAUCCAGCUAGCAAGAUGCUAGCUAUCUAUUAUCUAAAUAAUAGAGGCGAUACCAGGGGAAGUGAACCAUCUAAG